rnacentral:lncRNA from 1 species
CAUAAACGCAAAUAUAAUCGCAAUCUGGUCUGGAUGAAAACACGCUUCUCCCUUCCUGAAAUGAAGGACUGCCUUCUCUCAGCUGUCUGUCUGUGCCUCAGAACACCCUCGAAGCUUGGGUUCAUCUGGAUCGGACCGUGUAGGGUGUAUAAGAACUUGAACACUCGUCUGAUUUCUAAAGGCUCCUCCGACUACUUGCCUUGUCCUAAAACAGUCAGCUCAGAUGCCAUUUAUUUCAGCCACUGAUGACAUGAGCUGAAAUGAGAUAAAAUACAGUUCAGGCAGCCCUUCCCGCUGAGAAUCUGCCAUUUCCCC